ensembl:snRNA U6 U6 spliceosomal RNA
GUGCUUGCUUCAGCAGCACAUAUACUAAAAUUGGAAUGAUACAGAGAAGAUUAGCAUGGCCCCUGCGAAAGGAUGACACACAAAUUCAUGAAGCAUUCCGUAUUUUU